GGAACGAGUUCGGUUGAUGAUCGGUGCUUGCACCGAGAUUCAACAUGGAACGAGUGGCGGCGGGUGAGUAACACGUGGGUAACCCUUAAGUGGGGGAUAACAUUUGGAAACAGAUGCUAAUACCGCAUAGAUCCAAGAACCGCAUGGUUCUUGGCUGAAGAUGGCGUAAGCUAUCGCUUUUGGAUGGACCCGCGGCGUAUUAGCUAGUUGGUGGUAAUGGCUCACCAAGGCGGGAUACGUAGCCGAACUGAGAGGUUGAUCGGCAUUGGGACUGAGACACGGCCCAAACUCCUACGGGAGGCAGCAGUAGGGAAUCUUCCACAAUGGACGCAAGUCUGAUGGAGCAACGCCGCGUGAGAAGAGGCUUUCGUCGUAAAACUCUGUUGUUGGAGAAGAAUGGUCGGCAGAGUAACUGUUGUCGGCGGGGUAUCCACAGAAAGCCACGGCUAACUACGUGCCAGCAGCCGUAAUACGUAGGUGGCAAGCGUUAUCCGGAUUUAUUGGGCGAAGCGAGCGCAGGCGGUUUUUUAAGUCUGAUGUGAAAGCCCUCGGCUUAACCGAGGAAGCGCAUCGGAAACUGGGAAAC
rnacentral:rRNA from 2 species